rnacentral:lncRNA from 1 species
CAUUUCCACUCAGGAUAAUGACCUCAGUUUUCCUGGGAGGGAGUGGUAUGAUUGUCAUGACAAUGUCAUGUGAUGGUAGAAUUUCUUCAUUGACGAAUCUAUAGUAGUUGUGUAUACUUUAUUUACCCAUCUUUAUGUUCCUACCGAAAACUAAAGGGUUUCUUUGUUGUUCAUCUCCCUACUGAGAUCUCAGUACUCCCGGUGCAGAAUUGGCUCUUGCAAACUGAAAUCCUCAGUGCUGUUUAUACCACAGUCAGUGGUGUGUCCGUAGCAAAAGGUGUUCGUUUGUGGUAUAAACAGCACUGCAGGCCCACGUGGUUUAUAACAGCCAGCUUCCAAUGGUUUCAGUUAGCCAUUGGAUGUCCACACAAUCUAAUACAACCUGUGCUUAACAUGACUGUGUAUCAGUGUAGAAAAUGCAUGUGACAGACCAGCACAACCCACAGUUUUGCCGGUGUUCAGCUUCUGCCCAUGAGUCCAUCCAGUUGAGUGCUGGGCUGCUUUUAAGUAUUGGGGAUCUGUGUUUAGAAACAUCCCAACUAUUCCUGUCUAGUUCUAAUUCGACUGUGACUGUGCAUUGUCAUCCAUACAUAUUGAUAGGAGAGAGAUAUUUAGAAUUGCCUUGUGUAUUAUCUGGCAUUUAUUACAUCUUUCCAGGUCAACCAUCUUGCUGCCAGUCCAAAUUAUUGUACUUGGUCUCUUUAUGACAACCUUGGGCGUAACAAACUAUUGACUGUUCUUAGGCAGUGGGGAUAAAUAUUUCUUUCUUUCCCAUGACUUUUUGUGACUGACUUUGGCUGUAAAACUUCUUUGUUAAGCAAGAGGGUUUUUCUUCCUUUUUUUCCCCCUUCUUCCCCCUUUUUUUUUGUUGUUCUGAGAUGUGUAAUUCUUUUAUGGAGUUUUUGUUUUGUUUUAAUUUCGUAUUUUUUUUUUCUAACAUCGCUUCAUUAAACAAAUAUUUAAAAAUGUAAUAUUUGGACCAGAUGUUGUGAAUAAUAGUAGAUAAAGCUAUUUUAUUCUGUAUUUUUAAAGCUGUUCAGUAUAAAUAAACGCGGGCAUAGAUGCAA